rnacentral:rRNA from 1 species
GUUAGGAAUAUUGGACAAUGGGCGCAAGCCUGAUCCAGCCAUGCCGCGAGAGUGAUGAAGGCCUUCGGGUUGUAAAGCUCUUUAGUCCACGAAUAUAAUGACUGUAGUGGAAGAAUAAGCCCCGGCUAACUUCGUGCCAGCAGCCGCGGUAAUACGAAGGGGGCGAGCGUUAUUCGGAAUCACUGGGCGUAAAGCGUGCGUAGGCUGUUUUGUAAGUCAGAAGUGAAAGCCCAGGGCUUAACCCUGGAAUUGCUUUUGAAACUACAAGACUCGAAUUCGGGAGAGGAUAGCGGAAUUGUCAGUGUAGCAGUGAAAUGCGUAGAUAUUGACAGGAACACCAGUGGCGCAAGCGGCUAUCUGGACCGAUAUUGACGCUGAGGCACGAAAGCGUGGGGAGCAAACAGGAUUAGAUACCCCAGUAGUCC